CCUACGGGUGGCAGCAGUGGGGAAUAUUGGACAAUGGGGGGAACCCUGAUCCAGCCAUGCCGCGUGUGUGAAGAAGGCCCUCGGGUUGUAAAGCACUUUCAGUGAGGAAGAACGCCUGGUGGUUAAUACCCAUCAGGAAAGACAUCACUCACAGAAGAAGCACCGGCUAACUCCGUGCCAGCAGCCGCGGUAAUACGGAGGGUGCGAGCGUUAAUCGGAAUUACUGGGCGUAAAGCGCGCGUAGGUGGCUUGAUAAGCCGGUUGUGAAAGCCCCGGGCUCAACCUGGGAACGGCAUCCGGAACUGUCAAGCUAGAGUGCAGGAGAGGGAGGUAGAAUUCCCGGUGUAGCGGUGAAAUGCGUAGAGAUCGGGAGGAAUACCAGUGGCGAAGGCGGCCUUCUGGACUGACACUGACACUGAGGUGCGAAAGCGUGGGUAGCAAACAGGAUUAGAUACCCUGGUAGUC
rnacentral:rRNA from 1 species